GAUGAACGCUAGCUACAGGCUUAACACAUGCAAGUCGCGGGGCAGCAUGGGGGUUGCUUGCAACCCCUGAUGGCGACCGGCGCACGGGUGAGUAACGCGUAUCCAACCCGCCCUUCACCACGGGAUAACCCGGCGAAAGUCGGACUAAUACCGUAUGUUGUCCAUUGACGGCAUCCGAUUUGGACGAAAGGCUUGGCGGUAAAAGGAUGGGGAUGCGUCCGAUUAGCUUGACGGCGGGGUAACGGCCCACCGUGGCUACGAUCGGUAGGGGUUCUGAGAGGAAGGUCCCCCACACUGGAACUGAGACACGGUCCAGACUCCUACGGGAGGCAGCAGUGAGGAAUAUUGGUCAAUGGGCGUAAGCCUGAACCAGCCAAGUAGCGUGCAGGAUGACGGCCCUAUGGGUUGUAAACUGCUUUUAUGCGGGGAUAAAGUGGCCCACGUGUGGGCUUUUGCAGGUACCGCAUGAAUAAGGACCGGCUAAUUCCGUG
rnacentral:rRNA from 1 species